rnacentral:piRNA from 1 species
UCCACUCGUGCAGGUCUUCCAAUGUUGCAU